CAUCACAUCCUGGGGCUGAAGCAGGUCCCAAGGGUAUGGCUGUUCGCCAUUUAAAGUGGUACGCGAGCUGGGUUUAGAACGUCGUGAGACAGUUCGGUCCCUAUCUACCGUGGGCGUUGGAGACUUGAGGGAAGCUGUUCUUAGUACGAGAGGACCGGAAUGGACACACCUCUGGUGUUUCGGUUAUGACGCCAGUCGUAUUGCCGAGUAGCUAUGUGUGGAAAGGAUAACCGCUGAAAGCAUCUAAGCGGGAAGCCCCUCCCAAGAUUAGGUCUCCCUGACAGUUUAACUGUCCUAAAGAUCCCUCGGAGACUACGAGGUUGAUAGGCACGGUGUGGAAGAGUAGUGAUACUUGAAGCUAACGUGUACUAAUUGAUCGUGAGGCUUGACCAUAUAACACCCAA
rnacentral:rRNA from 1 species